rnacentral:rRNA from 1 species
AUGACAGUGAAACUGGCCGGACCCUGCGACGUACGGCACUGCUGUAGGUGCGAUCUCCAUUGUUACGACAGCCUUGACCAUUUACUGAACCAAGUAGUAGCACAUGCUACUCCCAGCUUACCAGGAAGCACUACUAAUCACAUCCAAGAUGUGCAUACACGCACCACAUCCCCUGGGUACACAGCUGCCGCAGGAGCGCUCAAGGACAGCUUGUGCACGCGGGCACAGCGGCUCAGCAGAGGCAAGCAGGGACGGAGUCCGGCGCAGCUGGCAGCGAUGCGUCGGGUUUCGCCGGCGCGUGGACACAGCGGCGUGCUACCCAGCCUUCACGGGACGUGGCGGAAAGAGAGCCGGUCUCGGCCACUGGAGUAUACUGCGGCCGAAGCGGCGUCGGGCUAUGUCAAUUUUGGAGGCGGCGGCUCAGAGGUGCCCCAACAAAUUGGCAACGGAGGGGCGGACCACGGUCAGAGGACCAGGCAGUGGCGACUUAACCUCGGCCAUUAA